CCCAUAGUCCCUAUGUGAAAGCUAUAAACCAGAUUGGUACAUCCAAAAACUUUUUAAAAAACUAGAAAUACUGUUUAUUCGACGUUACUUGGGUAAUGAUUAGUUAUUAUUAUUGUGUAUAAAUGACUUAUACUUGAUUAAGAAAUUACUUAUAUAAUUGAUCGAGUAAUUCCUUAUUUAAUGGCAGGAAUGUUGGGAAUUGGACUUUUUUUCUUGUAAGCUUCAAAGCCUUUAGAAAACUGCCUUCCUUAUUUAACGGCGGUAUUUUCAUUAUUAGAGGUCAAUAAUAAUGUAAAUGAUUAUUAUUAGUUUUAAAUGAUUAUUAUUAUUUCAUUAAUAAUGCAGGGAAUGUUAUAAAGGGCACAUAAGGAUUCGGAUUGGUAAAUGAAGUAUUACUGGAACACCUCCAACCCGGCCUGGCCGGGCAUCAUAAUAAUUCAGGGUUGCCGUUUUGAGGAAUUUCGUCUAUUAGUGUGGCUUUCUGGUGACAUCUGGCAACCCCACGUGGCUUUUCCGACCACAGGCCACGGCACUGAAGAAAAAAAUUCUUCACUUUGCCUUUUUAUGUUUUAUUAUGAAAAAUAAAGAUAUAAAACAUAUCCUGCUUAUUUAUACAAAUGAAAUUUAUUGAAAUCCUUUAUUUUUCUUCGUCAAAAAUACUUUAUAUUGAGCUAGUGACGUGUAGUUUUCUAACAUCACGGUAAAUAAUUAUACAUCGGAAAAUACGCAUUCUAACCAUUAAAUCAUAAAUAAAGUAAAAAAAUAAGAUGAACUGCCUAUGGUAACACUGCUGAAAGCCAAUGUUGUGAAGAAAAAACGGCAUCACUGCCAUCAUUCAGUCUCCAUGAAAAUCAACUCGACACAUAUCAUACGCUUCACCUCCAAUCCCUGUGAUCAGUUUACUGCAUCCACAGAGAUAAAGGUAAAAUAAGCAGAAACAUCAGAUCAAAAGAAGUCGAGGAGACAAGUUGCUGCAUCCAGAUCUGCAGAACUAAUACAGGGAGGCCAGUCCAGCACCCUAACUAAGGAAAAUAUGCCACCAAAGAAACGGCCUAUUAUUGGGCCAAAGACUUAAGGAGCCAAAAGGAAUGGAAUAUACAGGGCAGCAAAAACAUCAGAUCAUGAUAUGGCCAGACUGGUAGGUCCGAGGACAAGAGUAGCUACAUCGAGAGCAGCAGAAGGACAGGAACAGAGGGCAUUCAGACUGAAAGUACAGAGGAUGAGGAAAGCUGCAUCCAAAACAGCAAAAGAACUGGAAUAGAGGGAGGCCAGACUGGAAGUUCAAAGAACAAGACUUGCUGCAUCUUGAUCAGCAGAAGAACUGGAACAGAGGGAGGCCAGACCAGUACCAUAUUUAAGGGAAAAUGUGCCCCCACAGAAAUGGCCUUCAUUGAACCAAAGACUCCAAGAGCCAAAUGGAAUGCAGCGUACUGGGCAGUGGAAACAUCAGAUCAGGAGAGAUACCAGACUGGAAGUCCAGAGGACAACAGUUGCUGCAUCCAGAGCAGUGGAAAUACUGGAACAAAGAAAGCCACACUGGUAGAUCUAAGGAUGAGAUUAGCUGUAUCCAGAGCAGCAAAAGGAUCGUAACAGAGGGAGACCAGACUGGAAGUCCAGAGGCUGAGAGAAGCUGCAUCCAUCCAGAGCAGCAGAAGCACCGGGACAGAGGGAGGCCAGACUGGUAUAUCUGAGGAUGAGAGUAGCUCAACCCAGAGCAGUAGAUGGCCCGGAAUAGAGGGAGGCCACCCUCUGAAAUAUGAAGGCGACAAUCUCAGGAGUUAGAACUCAAGGAACGUUCUAUCACAGAUUUUAAAAAAGCAGUAUUCUAUUGCAGGGUGGAUGUCAGUUAUCACGAGCACCCUUGUGCGUCCAUUGGAAAGUUGGACAGUGUUUGUCAGACAAGCACUGCAACGCCUUCAAGUGGAAAGAAGAGGGUCCAGGACUGCUGCAGCAUGGAAAGGUGUUUUUGUCACUUUUGGUCAGUACCCAAUCCACUGCAAUUACUCAUGUCAGGAGAUAGGACCACUUCUCGAAAUUUCCUUGAAAACAUAUGAAAGUACAACCCUUGCGACCACUUUCUGAAAUUUCUUUGAAAAUAACUGAAAGUACUACCUGUUUCCAAAUGACAUCAUUCGGUACAAACAGAUAUUCACAAAACAGGCUAAAUGUCCACCUUAAAAGUUCAAGGUCAGAUUUACCAUGCCUUUGGAAAAUAAGCCAUCCUUCUUGACCUCCAGGAGUUCCUUCACAAGCGCCAUGCCUACGUCACCAUCUUCAAAACACCCCUGGAACUCAUGACCACAGAGAACCACAUGAUCAGGGAUCAGACUGGACAUGAAACCUGUGGGGAACACGAAACAUGUUUCAGUGUCCCACCUUCAUUGAAGUGGCCGUGGUAAUGGUUGGAAAUAACUUCACUACAUUCGGACCUAUCAGCUACAUCCACCUCCUAGAUGCCAUCGCCAGUAACACCAAUCAAAGGGAGUAGGGACAAGUGGUCAUCUUGCCCAUCAACAAGUCAUCAGAAGUCCCAGGCAUAUGUACCAGUACACCCGAGAUGCAAUGACUUACACGAGGAGGUAUGGAUAUCUGGACCUUUUCAUCACCUUUAUGUGCAACCUGAAGUGGUUAAGAAAUUCAGCAUCAACUGCUAACUUGGCAGUCACCUUAUCACCGGGGGAACUUGGCAAGAUGGUCGACAUAAUCAUCACCAAGUUGCACAUCUUGGGAGAAAUCCAGUGCUGGAUGUACACCAUCGAGUGAAAAAAGCAUGGCCCUCUCCACGCUCUCAUGCUGUUCUGGUUCCAGCGGAAGAUCCAGUCCAUCAGUUGUCACCAAGAAUAUGAUAUGAUCCAUGGUCCCUGUGGUUCAUGGCUAAAACAAGAAUUAUUCAAAAGUUUCUGAAGAAGCUCAUCAGUGAAAUAGGAAGAGACAGCUACCCCUUCUACUGAAGGCAAAAAUCAGGAGCUGGCAGGUUCAUGGGAAAGAUUAACAUGAAACUUGGCCAGGAUACCAGCAAGUUCAGGUGGACAACAGACGAGUUUUUCUGUGCAAUCCACUCCUCUCAAAGAUGUUCCAAGCCCCCAUCAAUGUUGUUCAGUGAAGUCUUAUCGAGUGCACCUGCAAGUGAAGUGACCAAGUAGUGUUCGAGAUACAGACAGACCAGCCCAUCCAGGACGAAGUGCAAGCCCUCCAGCUUAGCAGGUACAUCAGCAGCAGUGAGGCCACUUGGAGAAUCUUGAGCUUCACAUCCACAACAGAUACCCAACCACCCUGCAGCUCAGUGUUCACUUGGAAAAUGGUCAGGGUUUACUUCAGGCCAGAUGGGUUCCAACCAGAGAAAAUGCAGGCCCACCCAACACCACCUUGAUGGCCUUUGAGCUUUGUGUCAGGAAAGAUCCGUUUGCAAAGAUGCUACUUUACUGUAAACAGAGUACUACACAUGGGAUCCCAGCAGCAAAAAGUUCAGGAGCAGAAAGCAGGGCAUACUGGUACCUUGGGGUGUGUAUACACAGUCCAUCCCUCCAGCGUCAAAUAUUUUUACUUUACAAUGCUUCUGCAUGUUGUGCAGGAACUCGCAUCAUUCGCAAGUUGGAUGGUCAGGCCAGCAAAACUUGAAGGGAAGCCUGUGAAAGGUGAUGGUCAGGCCAGCAAAACUUGAAGGGAGGCCUGUGAAACGUGAGAGUUGGGCUGUAUCAUUUGGGGAAGUGCACCAUGGCCAGUAAAUGAGGUUUCAAGGCUUAGGACCUGAGGAGCAAGAAGGCUAUCAUGGGGUGUCACUGUUCUUUUGGCUGGGGACUUUAGCCCAACCUUGCCAAUGAUUAUCUGGGGGCAGAACUGACGAAAUGAACACUUUCCUUAAGAUGCCUUGCCUUUGGAGAGGAGUUCAAAGGUGACCACGAACAUAAGGGUGCAGUUGCCUGGCAAUUUUCUGCCUGCUCUCCUACCACUCCAUUGGGAUCCAUAACAACAUCGAUGAAGUCGUCAGUUACCCAGUGGAAUUCCUGAACUUCUUGGAUCUCUAUCUGGGUAUUUGCCUCAUGUCCUCAACCUGAAAGUUGGUGCACCAAGCCUCCUGCUUGAAACCUGCUUUGUCCAAAGUUGUACAACAGGACAUAUCUGAUCAAGACCUUUCUUCCAAACAUAGUUGAGGAAGAGGAGAAGGAAUCUUCAUCCUCUGAUUCCUGACAAUUUGCCAUUAAGAGCACCCAAUUUCCUGCUAGGCUCUCUUUCCCAAUGACCAUCAGCUAAGUGCAAGGUGGUAGGCAUCAGCUUGUAAAAAGAGCCAUGCUUUGCUCACGGCCAGUUUUAUGUCUUCUGUUCUAGGGUUAGAACUCCUAAGAUUCAAUACUUUCUGGAGGAAAAACCAAAAAAUUCUUGAGUGACCUUACCGUUUAUAAACUUCUGCCUUAACUCUGAAAUAUCUAGGUUGCUUAUUAUAGUAGUUAUAUAUUCCAUCCCCAGGAUGUCUAAUAAUCCCAAACCUACUUUACUGGUUCUGUACUUCUUAAUAUAGUGCUUUAAAUAAAUAUGUUUGUCAAAACCGCACCACGAGUUACUUCCUUU